UAAUCUCCUUAGCAACUGCAUCUUCUAAUUCCUCGCCUUCUUCUUCGUUUUCUUGAUCACUAGAUUGAGUUUCUGGCCAAAGAGUAGCUAUAUGCUAUUAAUCAUCAGUUUACGCAUCCUUAACCUGACAAAUGUCUUGCAUACCUGAGUAAAAACAUCAAGAAUCUCAGACGAUGAUUGUCUUUCUUUACCGCGAGGAACAGUAACUAAAACACCACUUUCAUUUUUUUCAAUCCCUGUUCUUUUGUACUUAAACUAUACUUAAUAGUUAGCUUUGUUUGAUAAAGAUUCCUUUCCUUUUUAAAAGGUCGCUCACUGCUGUUAUGAGCGUUCUCGCGCUUUCCCAUUUCAGUAUGUGAUACUUCAAGGUGAAAGGUAAAACUCGUCUCAAAUGAAAUAAUUAGGUAACUUAAUAUUUCGGACAAUGCACUCAUAAUUAGGUUAAAUGUGUUGCUAGAGUAAUUAAUAAAUAGUUAUAUGUUAGUGAUAUUAUAUCUUUAUUUUGCAAAUUCAAAUUGCCAUUCGGACCCCGAUUUUUCAGACAUUAAUAAUUACUAAAGAACACAUCAGACAUAAAGCCAAACCAAAACUAGAACCAUUAUAAUUAUUACUAAAAGAAACUUUAAACUUUUUUAAAGUAAAAAUUAUGUUUUAAAAGUUAUGUCUCCAUUGUGGUUGAUACACAUCUAUAUACUAGUUGUUUUUGACGUUAUAAAUAAAUACAUAUGGCCUAUUCUUCAGGAAGAGUAGUUACCUCAGUACCUUGCUCAUUCUCCUUUAGGCAGCGCUUUUUUCUCAAGGAUUGAUUUAAAAAAACUGACGAAGCAAUUCGCUUUCUCCCAGUGGUAAUCUUUCCGUUCGGAGGUAGACGCGGUCGCGGAGGUUUGCUCCUUGGCCUUAUGUCUUCAUCUUCCAACAACUCAUCCAAACCGAAUUCCUCUAGAUUCUUCUUUAAAAAUCCUUGAAUCAACCCGAUUUCGUUAGAAAUACUUUCGGCGGUGAUGGGAGGAUAUUUUGGAGGUGGAGCGUACUCUUGGUCACCCUUUAUCGUUCUGAAUGAAUUAGUAUCAAAUCUUUCAAAGAUAUUAUAAACAUACGCUUCGGGUUGCCAACUCAUAUUCGACCUCAAUCUGCUUUGUAAUAAAUGCAAUGGAACCGAUAGUGAAUCUAAGCCAAGUUCUCUAUCUAAACCAAGUUCCCGUAGACCAAAGAAAUCAUCACCAGUCUCAUACGAAAAAUUUCCCGUUACAAACGACUCUCCAUUUUGGUUAAAUAUCGCUUCUUCAUCAUUGCGCUCAGAAAGUGCAGGACGCUAAUCCGGUUAGUAACACUACUUAAUAAGGAAAUUCGCAUACCAAUAACUCAACAAAAUGCCUUUGAAGACGCUGAUGUAUUUCUAGCAACUUCACGCUUUGGCGCUCUACAUCAUGAUACACAUAUGAAAUUAAAUCAUUCACAUCGUCAACACCUAAUUCCCCUAGGGUUUGUCCAACAAUUUCCUAAAUUGGUCAAUAUAACUGCAUAACGUAAUUAAAUACCUGUUGAGAUUUGUCUUUCCCAUAAAUGAGAUACUGGUCCAUGACAGCACCCAUUUUUGCCAUGUAAUCAGCCGCUAUUUCGGUCAAAGCAUCCAGUGCUCCCAUUUGAAACGACUCAAAUCCAGCAUGGAAUAAUAUAAUGGUACAAAGCUUUUUUAAUACAUCGUGCGCCAAUGGUUUAAAGGAGGACAUGUUAUCGUAAUUUUGUGGGAUAUCCAAAAGGAUGGGUUCAUUGUUAGCAAACGGGACAUGACUUUUAUGAUGUUCAUAAUAAAAUGGCUGAGGAAGCUGUAACUGGCGAACUGUUUGGAUUUUAUUACAUAAUUUCCGAAUUUCUUGCAUUUUAGCAAUAUUUUUGUACAUCAACGAAGGUACACCAGGUGUGUUGCGAUUAAUUUCAAAAAGAGAGUAGUCCCUAAAGUAUAAGUCUUCUUCACUUUCAGUCUCCAAGACGCUACCAGCGGUCAUCGGAACGCCUGAACCCACAUCAUACUCAAGUAAUGGGGUAGUAUCUAAUUUCAUUAUUGGUUCAAAAUCACCUUUAUCCAUAGGUAAACAAUCUAUACUUCCAUAAGCAACUUCUCGAUCUAUAAAAGCUGACAUUGCUGUUGGCUUC